rnacentral:misc_RNA from 1 species
CUUUGCCUUAAAUGCUAUUCGGCUUAAUUAAUUUUUACGCUAGAAGCUGUUGUUUAAUAGUGAAUGUAUGAAUUGGGGACAUCAUUUUGAUUGUCUUUAGAGUUGUUAUAACGGGAAAGAUCAUUGGAAUUUGCAAGCAAAGAUGUAUAAUUUGACGAGAUAAGCAAAAUUGUGUUAGUGUUUUGGUUAUUAUGUCAGAAACGAAGUUUAUUAUACUGAUUUUGAGUUGAAAGCAGUGAAAUUUGCCCGUAGCAAUAAAUCUUAGUUUGACAGGAACUCUCAUUUAUUUUGUUUGAAACUCAUUUCAUGCUUGGCGUAUGCUGUUAGCCCCUGGAUAGGGAAGAGAGGGGUACCAUUAUUUUAUCAUUAUGGAGAACCCUUAAAACCUUUUAAUUUAAGAAUAGAUAAAAUGUGCUUACCUGUCGCUUAAUUCUCAAAAUGAAGCAGAGAAGGGAGAAUGAUCAAUAAGAAUGACAUGCAUAUGACAGCUUCAUGUGACAUUCUUUUCAGAUUGGAUUUAAUCAAUUCUUGAAGAUGAACUGAUUGAUGGGUAGUUGCACUCAGGAAUACAAUUCAGUGCCUGUGGAGUCUUUUGUGGUCAUCCAAAUCCAAUUCCUGGAGCAAUAGACUGCCCUACUGAUCUCACUCUUACACAUGCUUGCAUAUUUAGAUUCAUAUCAUUUUUGCAUCAAGAUUAUCACAAAGAGCAAAAAGGAAAAUAGAAG